CAUCAUCAUAACAGAGGAUGACCAACUGAAUGCCAACGCUCUCUGAGUCUGAACACCUUCAAGAGCAAUCAUGGCACGGCAAAGACGCCAGAGCAUCCAAAGUCGAAGAUCAGCACGCCAGAGAGGGCUCCGAUUAAAGAAAAAACCUGCUAGAAGAUAUCGGAAAAAACAGAGGAGAGUCGGCAGGCGACAAUCCCAUUACCGGAAAAGCUCUGUCUCAGUGUAGUCGGAGUGACUCGCUGAACAUGGAGGAAAACUGCCAUUCCCAGAUACCAACAUGGUGGAAAAUGACCAAGACCAUGGCAGAAACCUGAAACACCAAGCAACUGCAAGCAUUCAUGACAGGCAAUAAAGCAUCUGAAUGCACUUCUCUUAUUGAUUUGUCUUUAUAUAUAUACUAGCUUGGAGACCCGGCGAUGCCCGGGUCAUUUGAGAAAGGCAUUGUUUGCCUGUGUUCCAAGUGUAGCCUAUAUCCAAUGUCAGCUGGGUUCAGUGGGUGCAGGUGAGCUCCAACUCCCAUAUGCAAGUCCCAUCGUCCAGUGUCCACCCCCCUCCAAACAGAGCCAGUAUGUAGAGUAGGUCAUGAGGGCUCCAUGUACCAUGUUUGGUCUUGAUCAGUCAUUUGUGCGGGUCGCGGUGCUCUCAGGAAGUGAGUGAAGGUAUUGGAAGUCCCAUCGUCCUCCAAACUGCACCUGGGUGUAGAGUGAGUCAUGGGUGUUGUUUGUUUGAAGUUUGGUCUUGAUGAGACAUUGAUGGGGUGACAGUGGUCUCGGGAAGUGAAUGAAUAUACUACAAGUCCCAUCAUCCAAGGU
rnacentral:lncRNA from 11 species